rnacentral:rRNA from 1 species
GUGGGGAAUAUUGGACAAUGGGCGAAAGCCUGAUCCAGCAAUGCCGCGUGAGUGAUGAAGGCCUUAGGGUUGUAAAGCUCUUUUACCCGGGAAGAUAAUGACUGUACCGGGAGAAUAAGCCCCGGCUAACUCCGUGCCAGCAGCCGCGGUAAUACGGAGGGGGCUAGCGUUGUUCGGAAUUACUGGGCGUAAAGCGCACGUAGGCGGUUUUGUAAGUUAGAGGUGAAAGCCUGGGGCUCAACCCCAGAAUUGCCUUUAAGACUGCAUCACUUGAACGUCGGAGAGGUGAGUGGAAUUCCGAGUGUAGAGGUGAAAUGCGUAGAUAUUCGGAAGAACACCAGUGGCGAAGGCGGCUCACUGGACGACUGUUGACGCUGAGGUGCGAAAGCGUGGGGAGCAAACAGGAUUAGAAACCCUUGUAGUCC